rnacentral:rRNA from 1 species
CUACGGGUGGCAGCAGUGGGGAAUAUUGCACAAUGAGCGAAAGCUUGAUGCAGCCAUACCGCGUGUGUGAAGAAGGCCCGAGGGUUGUAAAGCACUUUCAAUUGGGAGGAAGGUUAAGUAGUUAAUACCUGCUUAAUUUGACGUUACCUUUAGAAGAAGCACCGGCUAACUCUGUGCCAGCAGCCGCGGUAAUACAGAGGGUGCAAGCGUUAUUCGGAAUUACUGGGCGUAAAGCGCGCGUAGGCGGAUUAUUAAGUCAGUUGUGAAAGCCCUGGGCUCAACCUGGGAACUGCAUCUGAUACUGGUAGUCUAGAGUUUAAGAGAGGGAAGUGGAAUUCCAGGUGUAGCAGUGAAAUGCGUAGAUAUCUGGAGGAACAUCAGUGGCGAAGGCGACUUCCUGGCUUAAAACUGACGCUGAGGUGCGAAAGCGUGGGUAGCGAACGGGAUUAGAUACCCCCGUAGUC